GGCGUUUCCCGCCUUGCCGUCCUGGGCGGGUAGAACGCAGCCCUGGGAGGUCUUUUCGUCCCUCACGUCGAGGGCAGCGCCUCGCUUCCUUCCUGCCUUGCAUCCAGCAGUUGAGCGGCUGCCCAGAGCGUCUGAUUCCUGAUCCAUGACGCACUAACUGAACUCGUUAAGGAGAGCAGUGCAGGCAAGCCAUAGGUUUAGUGUGAUACAAAUGUCAGAUUGCUUUGUUUGCCUUCACUCCUGAUCUGGGACAAGUGAGGAAGAUGAGAAUUGCCUCCAAUCCCUAUCACCGAGGACCAAACCUCUCUUCAGUAGAAUGCAUGGGAGUCUCUCAUAAAGGUAUCACUCUAACAAAAGCAUCAUUUUCUA
rnacentral:lncRNA from 1 species